GCUAUUUUUUCUAGAAACAACAAGAUGAAAUCUUUGUAUUGAUUAAUGUAUACUCUCGUGUUUCCUCAUCAAGCACAUAUUUCUGAAUGUCUUGCGGUCUCACCCAUCAUGCUAGACUACUAGAGGCAGGUGGUUUGGUUUUUAUUUAUUUAUUUUUCCGAUUGUCAGGGAUACGUUGCCAUUUUUCGCUAGAAACUGUCGUACAUCUAACCAAGUGACAUGGAAAGUAACAAAUUUGUAUGUUUGUUGCAUUCUCAUAUCAUCGAAGAAGUUGUACUCGUACGUGAGAAAUGGUUAGAACUUAGAAAAUGCAUCAAAAGGAGAUAGGGCAUAGCCAAAUUUUAAUUUAACUCCAUUUAUAUGUAUUGGGUAAGCUUGUCAGUUACCACUCACAAGAAGACUGGUGAGCACAAACAUGCUGGUGU
rnacentral:lncRNA from 1 species